rnacentral:rRNA from 1 species
AACGCUAGCUACAGGCUUAACACAUGCAAGUCGAGGGGCAGCGCAGUGUAGCAAUACAUGGGCGGCGACCGGCGCACGGGUGCGUAACGCGUAUCCAACCUUCCCGUUACUCUUGGAUAGCCUUCCGAAAGGGAGAUUAAUACAAGAUGGUGUUGAAAUUCCGCAUGUUAUUUCAGCUAAAGAUUUAUCGGUAACGGAUGGGGAUGCGUUCCAUUAGCUUGUUGGCGGGGUAACGGCCCACCAAGGCUUCGAUGGAUAGGGGUUCUGAGAGGAAGGUCCCCCACACUGGAACUGAGACACGGUCCAGACUCCUACGGGAGGCAGCAGUGAGGAAUAUUGGUCAAUGGUCGGAAGACUGAACCAGCCAAGUAGCGUGAAGGAUGAAGGUUCUAUGGGUUGUAAACUUCUUUUAUAUGGGAAUAAAGUGAUCCACGUGUGGAUUUUUGUAUGUACCAUAUGAAUAAGGAUCGGCUAACUCCGUGCCAGCAGCCGCGGUAAUACGGAGGAUCCGAGCGUUAUCCGGAUUUAUUGGGUUUAAAGGGUGCGUAGGCGGAGUAUUAAGUCAGCUGUGAAAGUUUGGGGCUCAACAUUAAAAUUGCAGUUGAUACUGGUAUUCUUGAGUAUAGUGGAAGUUAGCGGAAUUCGUGGUGUAGCGGUGAAAUGCUUAGAUAUCACGAAGAACUCCGAUUG